rnacentral:lncRNA from 1 species
AACGUGGCGAAUCCGCACGGUCAGGGCGCGGCGACGUAUUCGACUAACGGAUUGAAUAUGCGUAGAUCGGCGAUGACGAAUUCGCUGGUGAGGAUCGGUGGGGUUGAAGGUGAGUGGGUGAGAAGAGCCUUGACGACGCUGAUAAGGCCUUCGUCGCAUCAGCUGAAGAGGCGAUCUGCUUAUCAGCCGAGGCCUAGCAGGCUAUCGUCUAUGUCGAAGGCGGAUGAUGUUUGAAUCUGGUUAUCAGGUUUGUUCUUGUUUCUGAAUCAGCCACAGGGAUAGAUCCGGCGAAGAAGUCUGGAUCUGGAGCGACCUGGAUCUGCGCGGAUGGGCCGAGUCAUAUUGGGCCGAGUCAAAUCGGAGGGAGAUAUGUAAAAACGGAGACUGAAACGACACCGUCUUAUAAGACUUGUUAUGUUGGGUGAAGAUGAGAUUGUACCUUAGUAACUCAUAUGAUAACGAAGAAAGCAGAUAAUGUUUCCCUAAGCAGAAAAUAUCUUAGAACAAAUUAAAGAAAAAAAUCGAAUUGCGUUAUUAAAUUCUGGAUAUGAAACAAGGGACUGUCAAAUAUUCUGGAUCCCGUUUGAGUUUUGCGCCGUUAUCUGUUCCGUCAACGUUCUCUACUGCCGUAGACCCGUUCCGUUUGCCGUUAACCGUCGUCGUGUGGCUCGUUAUGUGUUCUGUUAUGAUUCCCAGGUAUGUGUUGUUCGUCGUGUGUGAGG